AGAGUUUGAUCAUGGCUCAGAACGAACGCUGGCGGCAGGCUUAACACAUGCAAGUCGAGCGCCGUUAGCAUACGGAGCGGCAGACGGGUGAGUAACGCGUGGGAACAUACCCCUCGGUUCGGAAUAACUCAGGGAAACUUGAGCUAAUACCGGAUACGGCCGAGAGGCGAAAGAUUUAUCGCCGAGGGAUUGGCUCGCGUCCGAUUAGCUAGUUGGUGUGGUAACGGCGCACCAAGGCGACGAUUGGUAGCUGGUCUGAGAGGAUGAUCAGCCACAUUGGGACUGAGACACGGCCCAAACUCCUACGGGAGGCAGCAGUGGGGAAUAUUGGACAAUGGGCGCAAGCCUGAUCCAGCCAUGCCGCGUGAGUGAUGACGGCCUUAGGGUUGUAAAGCUCUUUCGCACGCGACGAUAAUGACGGUAGCGUGAGAAGAAGCCCCGGCUAACUUCGUGCCAGCAGCCGCGGUAAUACGAAGGGGGCUAGCGUUGUUCGGAAUUACUGGGCGUAAAGCGCGUGUAGGCGGGCUUUUAAGUCAGGGGUGAAAUGCCGAGGCUCAACCUCGGAACUGCCUUUGAUACUGGAAGUCUUGAGUCCGGGAGAGGUGAGUGGAACUGCGAGUGUAGAGGUGAAAUUCGUAGAUAUUCGCAAGAACACCAGUGGCGAAGGCGGCUCACUGGCCCGGAACUGACGCUGAGACGCGAAAGCGUGGGGAGCAAACAGGAUUAGAUACCCUGGUAGUCCACGCUGUAAACGAUGGAUGCUAGCCGUUGGGGAGCUUGCUCUUCAGUGGCGCAGCUAACACUUUAAGCAUCCCGC
rnacentral:rRNA from 1 species